AGAGUUUGAUCAUGGCUCAGAUUGAACGCUGGCGGCGUGCCUAACACAUGCAAGUCGAGCGGUAACAGGUGUAGCAAUACAUGCUGACGAGCGGCGGACGGGUGAGCAAUAUUUGGGAAUCUGCCUAUUAGUGGGGGACAACCCGGGGAAACUCGGGCUAAUACCGCAUACGCACUACGGUGGAAAGCCGGGGACCGCAAGGCCUGGCGCUAAUAGAUGAGCCCAAAUCGGAUUAGCUAGUUGGUGAGGUAACGGCUCACCAAGGCGACGAUCCGUAGCUGGUCUGAGAGGACGACCAGCCACACCGGAACUGAGACACGGUCCGGACUCCUACGGGAGGCAGCAGUGGGGAAUAUUGGACAAUGGGCGAAAGCCUGAUCCAGCGACGCCGCGUGGGUGAAGAAGGCCUGCGGGUUGUAAAGCCCUUUCGGUGGGGAUGAAAAGCCUCGACCUAACACGUCGGGGUCUUGACCUAACCCAAGAAAGAAGCACCGGCUAACUCUGUGCCAGCAGCCGCGGUAAUACAGAGGGUGCGAGCGUUAAUCGGAAUUACUGGGCGUAAAGCGCACGUAGGUGGCUUUGCAAGUCGGAUGUGAAAUCCCCGGGCUUAACCUGGGAACUGCAUUCGAGACUGCAUUGCUAGAGUAUGGGAGAGGGAAGUGGAAUUUCCGGUGUAGCGGUGAAAUGCGUAGAUAUCGGAAGGAACAUCAGUGGCGAAGGCGACUUCCUGGACCAAUACUGACACUCAAGUGCGAAAGCGUGGGGAGCAAACAGGAUUAGAUACCCUGGUAGUCCACGCCAUAAACGAUGAGAACUGGAUGUCGGGAGGGUCUGCCUCUCGGUGUCGUAGCUAACGCGUUAAGUUCUCCGCCUGGGGAGUACGGCCGCAAGGUUGAAACUCAAAUGAAUUGACGGGACCCGCACAAGCGGUGGAGCAUGGUGG
rnacentral:rRNA from 1 species